rnacentral:tRNA from 2 species
GCCGAAGUGGCGGAACUGGUAGACGCGUCGGACUCAAAAUCCGAUGGGAGCUGAUCCCGUGAGGGUUCGAGUCCCUCCUUCGGCA